AAGAAGUCUAGGUUUCGAAUCUCGUAGAAGAAUGGGCUUUAGUUUUUCGGGAUUUUUAGGAAUCCCCCGGGUCCAUUCAACCUGACAUUGCGCUGACAACAUGAUACCCUCGUUAUGCGGCUGUUAUUGAAACAGAUCAACCUUUUCCUCAUAUGCUCUAUAGAUGUUUUUUAUGCUUGUCUUGCAAGUCUUCUGGAUUUGUGUAUCAAAGGAAGAGUAUGUGAUUCGAAACCUUUCAGACCCAUGCCUCGAUAAGAAUGUCAAAUUCAUGAAAGGAACACACAGAAUAUAUGCGUACUUAGAGGUCAUCACUUCUAAAAGAGAAGGUUUGCAACUGAAUGUUAAAUGACUAGAUUUCUAAAUAAAAUACUUACUUCUGAAGUCCUUUCUUUUCUUUUCAAACUGAAUACUCACAACAUUGACACUACACAAGGAAGACUAUUUGAUACAUCCAAUGUAAGCACUUGAACUGUGUGUGUAGCUAUAGUCAACUAAAGCAGUUCCUUCCUGUGACUCAUUGUGUAACUUGGAACACGUUUGGAGUAACAGGCUUUCUCUACAAGAUUUUUUGGGUUGCAACAAAGUCUAGAAACAGACACCACAUCAGAGUUAUGAAUUCAGCUCUCUGGAUCUCACAAGUGAUGCUCUUCAAGGACACAAUACAAUCAAAGUCAUUCGACCUUUUAGUUUUAUAAUAUCAUUUAUCUACAUUUAUUUUAAAGCUGUAUGCUUGAAAAUAAAAAGAAUUAUUGAGACUAUGGUUUGAUUAUUAUUUUGUUUAGUUUAAACAAUAGAAACAAAUUCAACCUAAAAAUAAAAAAUUAAAGUG